AUUGAACGCUGGCGGCAUGCCUUACACAUGCAAGUCGAACGGCAGCACGGGGCAACCUGGUGGCGAGUGGCGAACGGGUGAGUAAUGCAUCGGAACGUGCCAUUGAGUGGGGGAUAACGUAGCGAAAGUUGCGCUAAUACCGCAUAUUCUGUGAGCAGGAAAGCAGGGGACCGCAAGGCCUUGCGCUCUUUGAGCGUCCGAUGUCAGAUUAGCUAGUUGGUGAGGUAACGGCUUACCAAGGCGACGAUCUGUAGCGGGUCUGAGAGGAUGAUCCGCCACACUGGAACUGAGACACGGUCCAGACUCCUACGGGAGGCAGCAGUGGGGAAUUUUGGACAAUGGGCGCAAGCCUGAUCCAGCCAUGCCGCGUGAGUGAAGAAGGCCUC
rnacentral:rRNA from 1 species